rnacentral:rRNA from 1 species
AUUGAACGCUGGCGGCAGGCCUAACACAUGCAAGUCGAACGGUAACAGGAAGCAGCUUGCUGCUUCGCUGACGAGUGGCGGACGGGUGAGUAAUGUCUGGGAAACUGCCUGAUGGAGGGGGAUAACUACUGGAAACGGUAGCUAAUACCGCAUAACGUUGCAAGACCAAAGAGGGGGACCUUAGGGCCUCUUGCCAUCGGAUGUGCCCAGAUGGGAUUAGCUAGUAGGUGGGGUAACGGCUCACCUAGGCGACGAUCCCUAGCUGGUCUGAGAGGAUGACCAGCCACACUGGAACUGAGACACGGUCCAGACUCCUACGGGAGGCAGCAGUGGGGAAUAUUGCACAAUGGGCGCAAGCCUGAUGCAGCCAUGCCGCGUGUAUGAAGAAGGCCUUCGGGUUGUAAAGUACUUUCAGCGGGGAGGAAGGGAGUAAAGUUAAUACCUUUGCUCAUUGACGUUACCCGCAGAAGAAGCACCGGCUAACUCCGUG